CUCAUUCAUCUACCGAACUGCUCCAAACACCCUCUGAACUCUGCUAUCAGCCGAUUUUCUAUGGUGAUCGACUAUUCUCUGAAUCUCUUCCAAACUUCUUUCGGCCAUGGACGACUCUACUCUGAACUUCAUCCAGACUUUGUCAGUGUCCGAGCUUCUCCGACAAUAAAAUUUCUAUAGUAACCAGACUCCAUCCAAGUUUCUACGACGGUCAACCACCUUCUGGAUUCCAUCCGAGCUCCUACGAGAAUCGGAUUCCAGUCGAACUCCCACAGUGGAGGGAUACCAGACGAAUGUCGACAACGAAAGGGCUCC
rnacentral:lncRNA from 1 species